CCUGGAAAGUUCAUAACUAAUCAGUGCAAGGAAUAUUUUUUCUUGGCGCCAAUCAAGUUUUUUUUCCUUCCGCGCUAAUUAUCUUAUCACACCCCUCCUCCCGGAAAUUAUGCUCUGUAGUUUGCAGGCAGUAAGGAUACAAACCAAUUCCUCAUCGGAGAAACAGGUUUAUCUUCUCUUCCUUGCUGCGCAAUGCAAACCAACCAAAACUUCCCUUCUUUCCUCUCUCUCGUGCUGCGUGAACCGCGGAGCAAGAAGGAAGGGCCGUUGGAAAAAGGAAGUUUGUUGGAGAGGGGGAAUGGUCACUGGCCCUUGCAGCCUUUGUCACACGAUUGGGGAUUCGACCAUCAGUGGGGCGAAGUGACGGUUUUGCACCACUUUUCCCCCAAUCCUACCAAUCCUGAAUUGAUGUGCUUCGAACCAGGGAUAGGUUUGUAACCUCUGUUCCUGUUCUGAGCAGCUCUCAGAGAGAAGUGGGAGAGAGAGAGAAGGAUUGAGGUGCCCGGAAGAGGAGGAGAGGCGGCACGAGCGGGGGUGUGGGAGCCAGCGACGGCGCUACUUGGAAGGGAGGAUUCGGUACAAUCUCAUUGUCGGAUUAGGGUCUGGGUUUGACUACUACUCUGUCUUUUCGAAAAGUAUGAUACUGAUUCAAAUGGAGAGAUGAUACUUAUUUGGUAGAACUUUCAGACAAACCCAAAUAAUCAGAUUAGGUUGUCUAACAAUUUAGAUAAUCAUAUCCAUUUUCCAUACUGACUCCAUGCAAUGAAAUUCUGUAAUUCAGUCUUAGUGGAAGCAUCUCUUUGUUUUUUUUUUCUUUUCAGCUUUUGUCAGCAGAUGACAUCCCAUGAUUUUAAAUUUUACUCUACGACACAGAACUGCACCUUUCCCUCCUAUCUUUCAAAAGGAAGAGCUCGUAGGAUUGGUUCUGGACCGUUGCUACUUUCUCUGUUGCACAACAUUAUUGCUGAAUCCUCUAGCAUCGACUUUGAUUUAUUUUUAUGUUAGGAAUAUUAAACUAUAAACCUGGAUAGCAGAGUCAUUUUAAAUCAUACAUAUUGUAUAAUUUAUCUGUAAUUAUAAUAAACACAUCAGCAACAAGUUACAUAUUACUGAAAUAAAAAAAAAAACGUUCUUGAACCUCUGCACAACUAGCAUGGCGUAAGAUUCAUUCUACAAAUAUUGUUUCAAUGCGUUAUUUGUCUCCUCUUCAAGCUGGCAAUAAUGUGCAUCUUCAGUACGAAAACUGCAGGGGGGGGGGGGAUGUCUAUCUUAAAGUAAAAUGAAAACAAGUUCAACAUGGGAGUUAUAUAGACUAUGCACAGGCAGGCAUAUUUUAAGCUACUAUCUCUAAAUGAAAUGUUCAGAAAGAAUAUCUCACACCUGGGCAUUUUUACAUGUUUACAAUGUUGUAAUCAUCUUCGACAAGGAGAAUAUUAUGCUGCAGCUCAUCUCUUAAGUACAGUGCUGAGAAAACUUAAAUGAAUAUGUGCACCCACCUGAAAAUGAAGAUCCAUUAAGAUUUCAGUAUUGCUCAGCUGAACUGAAGAUAAUUCUGGAACUCAAACUGCACAAGCAAAGCAAUCAAAGGGAAGAAGAAAGACAAGUUAGGAAGGAGUAGGAGAGAUUGUUGCAAUUACAAAGCACAAGCAUGGCUGCUGAUAGUUGGACCCUAGAUCUUGAAUGUGAAGGGGCAGCUCCAGGAAAAGAAUGUGUACAGAAGGAAAUGGAUAGAGAUGAGAUAUGCUUUUUCAACUUGGUUGGUUUGAUCGAGAAAUAUGGGUACACAUCAAUCGACUACCUAUACUACAAGACAAGAGAUAGUUUGGUUGCGAUAGAUUAUGACAAUAACGUGAUGAAAAUGCUUUAAGAGAACGAGAGCAAGAAGAAGGUUUGUUUGUAACAAGGCUGAAAGUAAGUGUAAGCAAAAAGGUCUGUGUGUCACCUGUCAGGCCCAACAAAGAACCGACCAGACCUGCACCAAAGAAAACUAAAGAUGAUGAUGAUGAAGUGAAUAAGCGUGAGCCAACUCUUUUAACACAUGUUUGGGAUCUUCCAGCGGGAAAACAGAUAGUCGUAAAAUGCAACUAGCUUGGGCAACCCAUUGGCAAAGAAGGUGGCCUGUUAGGGAAAUUCUUGGGCAUAAUAGCACGAAAUGGUGGUUAUUGUCCUCUAGAUGUCAAAGAUUGGAGAAACGUCAAGAAGGAUGGUGCUGAAACCAUACUUCAGCUCAUACAGACAAAGUUCUUGUAUCCUUGUUCGUGUGAAAAAUGGAUAUUGAAAUCAAUUGGAAGGGAUUGGAGGAAAUACAAGGCAACAUUAAAAAAGACACUAUUUAAUUCGAAGAAGAAAAGAUCUGCUCUGUACAAGCUCUGUCCAGAUGAUGUUGAUGAAGAUCAAUGGGUUGCCCUUGUAAGAUGUCGGAAGUCGAAAGAAGGAAAGGCCCUUUGUGAGAAGAACAAAAUUAGUUGUGGAAUAAAGAAGACAACACAUACAGCGGGUACAAAGAGUUAUGCCUGUUGGUUCGAGGACCUGAGACAAGAGGAUCCAAAAAAAGCGGCAUCAUAGAGCAAAGGUUUACUUAGCAACUCACAGGAAAAGUAUCAAAGGGACAAAUGAGCCUGUGAUAAACAACCACAGUUGGCACAUAACAACCAAGGAAGAGUUGUAUGGAAAGGUGAUGCAUUACAUCAAGUAUUGGGGGAAGAGAAACCUGGGCAAGUACAUGGCUUGGGAUUGCUUCCAACUCCUAAUCAAGUUUAUGGUCAGACAUCACAUUAGUUCAAGGACAUCAAUGUAGCUACAAUUGAUGAAUCAUCAUCUGAUGUAGAGGCACACAUGUUGGAGGAAAUAAAGCAGCUAAAGGAGCAUAUGAAAAAUCAAGAUCAAGUUAUUGAAGAACUCAUAAACAAUAGGGCACACUACCCGAAAAAAAACAGCAAUGGUAAUAAUAUUUGUUUAACUUUGUCUUGAAAUACUACUCAAAUAUUACCUUUCUAUUAGGUGAAUUUUCAAGAAACUAAUCAUGGUAAAUUUCAGCAACAAGUGAUGUACACUAGAAGAAAGAGAGUUUAAUGCAAUAUAACAAAUCAGGAAGACUCAUUGAGUAAACAAAGUAAUGAAAUGAUGAGUAAGUAGCAACAAGGAGUGUUCCAAGAGAGUACAAGCAUGACACAACAGCAGGUGCCACAUGAUAAGACUAUAAGUCACAAGACUUCAAGUUUUGCCUCCUCCAAUUAAGGUUGGGUCCAUUGUAUUACUCAAGACUGCAAAAUAUCCAAACAAAGCAAUUGUGGCCUAUGCUACCCCUUUGAGCUCUAGUCCAGAUGCAAAAGUUGGUGGAGUUGAGAUAGGAAACCAGUUUUGGAAAGUACGUAUCAAUCAUCCCAUUAUAGAAAAUGAGCCAUUAGUAAGACCGAUGAACCGCUACAAGUUAAUUGGUGACGCUCAUGCCAAAUGAGUAGCGAUUGCUUGGCCUUCAAUUUGUAUUGAAAUGAUCAAUAGUUGAAUGUUUAUAUUUGGAUGGUUACUGCAAGACUGGAUCUAGAAGCAAAGAAUUUCAUGAAUAUUAGAUAUUUAUAUUUGCAUUUCCUUUUUGGGAAAAGUUGUAUUCUUAUUCCUAAAGUCAUUUUCUCUCUAGAAUCAUAUCGUUAUGUACAGAUACUAUCAAAUGAUGUGAACAAGUGCUAUAUUUAUUUCCUUACUACAGUCAAUGAACUUGCUAUAUUCAAUGAAA